GACGAACGCUGGCGGCAGGCCUAACACAUGCAAGUCGAGCGGACCUUUCGGGGUCAGCGGCGGACGGGUGAGUAACGCGUGGGAAUAUGCCCUUCUCUACGGAAUAGUCCUGGGAAACUGGGGGUAAUACCGUAUACGCCCUUUGGGGGAAAGAUUUAUCGGGGAAGGAUUAGCCCGCGUUGGAUUAGGUAGUUGGUGGGGUAAUGGCCUACCAAGCCGACGAUCCAUAGCUGGUUUGAGAGGAUGAUCAGCCACACUGGGACUGAGACACGGCCCAGACUCCUACGGGAGGCAGCAGUGGGGAAUCUUAGACAAUGGGGGCAACCCUGAUCUAGCCAUGCCGGGUGAGUGAUGAAGGCCUUAGGGUUGUAAAGCUCUUUCAGCUGGGAAGAUAAUGACGGUACCAGCAGAAGAAGCCCCGGCUAACUCCGUG
rnacentral:rRNA from 1 species